rnacentral:lncRNA from 1 species
GAACUAAAGUGUUUAAUUAUAGAAGAUUGCUUGAAACUGAAUGCAGGAGUCGGAUUUAUCACAGGACAGCUUCAGUGGGUCAGAGGAAGCUGUCACAUGCUUUAGAAACUUAGGGAUCUUGGAAGCAGCUGUCAGAGGUUUGCUAAAUGUGCUCCCAGAGGAAGCAUGCUUCUGAGGCCACACGAAGGAGAAAAUAGGGAACAACUUUCCAUCAUUUUCACUAUGAGAAGUUACUAGUCCCCAAGGCCAGAUCACCAGCAUGUCACAGAAUUACAUCAAACAAAUGGUGGUCCCUCCUUGAAGAAGCUGGCAUCUCAGUAGUUGUGGAACCCUGUUCCCUAGCUCUGGGAGCCGAUCCAGGUCUAUAGUGGACAGUUGCCAGUCCUGGCAGAAGAGCCAGCUGACUCAAGGUAACAUCAGUCAUUUAGUGGCACAGACAGAAAGUGGAGGAAAUGAAAUGCUCCUUUGCAUCAAUAGCUCCUGGUUAAACAAAAA